rnacentral:tRNA from 1 species
GACCGCUUAGCUCAGUGGUAGAGCGUGUGAUUCCAGCUUAUGUAAACCUGGACAUUCCACAAGGUCAUCCGUUCAACUCGGGUAGUGGUCA